GUCCACGCUGUAAACGUUGGGCGCUAGGUGUGGGGACCUCUCCGGUUCUCUGUGCCGCAGCUAACGCAUUAAGCGCCCCGCCUGGGGAGUACGGCCGCAAGGCUAAACUCAAGGAAUUGACGGGGGCCCGCACAAGCGGCGGAGCAUGCGGAUUAAUUCGAUGCAACGCGAAGAACCUUACCUGGGUUUGACAUCGCCGGAAAACUCGUAGAGAUACGGGGUCCUUCGGGCCGGUGACAGGUGGUGCAUGGCUGUCGU
rnacentral:rRNA from 1 species